CCUCUCCUCUCCGAAGUGACAGAGAGGAGAAAACGCUCAUAUCGCGUUAUUUUGAAAGCAAUUUUAGAGAAAUAUGGUAGUUAGUUUAAUUAUAUUUAAUGCACCGGGAGAGGAGAAAACGUCUGGGAAAUGAUGAAGAGGGGAUAUUAGUUUUUUGAAAGUAAUUUCCUUUCAUUUCCCCUUUAAGUCACCACAUCCACUGCUGAACUCUCCGCAUACGGGAAAACCACGCACUGAGCUCCAGGUUUAGGAUUAGGGAUUCAUCUCCCCGAGACGUCUACUCAUUUGUUCUUGAAUCUUGCCAAGAAAGCCCCAGGAUGCAGAUGAUAUUUUCAGGAGUGACACAGACAGAUAAAAAGUCCACAUCGCUUCUUCCCUUCCUCCCAGUGAUAUUCAUGAGGUGUACCGCUACACUGAAAAAACACCCAAGAGUCCCCGCUUGACCUCUCUGUUUCAAACAAAUCAUUCUGUGGGUUUGAACACUGAGCGCCGACGGGUUAUCAUUUAUGCCAACUAAUAUAAACUGAAAAAAGGAGCAGGUUCGGAGAGGAAUAAUCCACAUCUGCAGUUCUCAUAUCGGCCUCUGUGGACCUUUGCUGACUCUGGGUCUGGCUGCCUCGAAGUCAUCCUUAUAUGGACCAGAUGUCAGAGUGAAUACACCAUCAUGACUUCUCAAGUUGUCCAGAAGGGCGUUGUAGUCAUUGUCCCCCGGGAGAAUACCGAGCAUUGUACCUGUAUUGUGCUGCCUCUCUGAAGAGACA